GAUUUUAACUAAAAAAGUCAUCAAUAACAAAGUCGUAUAACUCAUCAAGAUCUAUAACUUUUAUUUGGGUCAUUUCUUUAUCCAACAAAGCGAUUUGUAACAUUGUUCACAAAAUGUAUAUAUCUCUUAUAUAGUUUAUGAACUAUAAGAGAGAUAUGUAAAUUUUGUGAACAAUGUUACUAUCACUUUACCGGAUAAAGAAAUGACCAAAAUAAAAGUUAUAGAUAUUGAUGAGUUAUACAACUUUGUUGUUGAUGCCUUUUUCAGUUGAAUUC
rnacentral:pre_miRNA from 1 species